UUGUAAACUCCUGUUAAGAGUGAAGAAAUCCCUGCCAGUAAUAUGGGUAGGGGAUGACGGUAUCUCUAGAGAAAGCACCGGCUAACUUCGUGC
rnacentral:rRNA from 1 species